UACGUAGGGUGCGAGCGUUGUCCGGAAUUAUUGGGCGUAAAGGGCUCGUAGGCGGUUUGUCGCGUCGGGAGUGAAAUCCACUGGCUUAACUGGUGGCUUGCUUUCGAUACGGGCAGACUGGAGGUAUGCAGGGGAGAACGGAAUUCCUGGUGUAGCGGUGAAAUGCGCAGAUAUCAGGAGGAACACCAGUGGCGAAGGCGGUGCUCUGGGCCGGUACUGACGCUGAGGAGCGAAAGCGUGGGGAGCAAACAGG
rnacentral:rRNA from 1 species